AGGAUGAACGCUGGCGGCGUGCUUAACACAUGCAAGUCGAACGAUGAAGGCUGGAGCUUGCUCUGGCUGGAUUAGUGGCGAACGGGUGAGUAACACGUGAGUAACCUGCCCCAGACUCUGGGAUAAGCGCUGGAAACGGCGUCUAAUACCGGAUACGAGCUUCCACCGCAUGGUGAGGAGCUGGAAAGAAUUUCGGUCUGGGAUGGACUCGCGGCCUAUCAGCUUGUUGGUGAGGUAAUGGCUCACCAAGGCGACGACGGGUAGCCGGCCUGAGAGGGUGACCGGCCACACUGGGACUGAGACACGGCCAGACUCCUACGGGAGCAGCAGUGGGGAAUAUUGCACAAUGGGCG
rnacentral:rRNA from 1 species